UCUCUGUAGCUCAGUGGUAGAGCGUCCGACCCGGUGUGGCGGAAGGUCAUAGGUUCAGACUCCUGUUGGAAGAA
rnacentral:tRNA from 1 species